GGGGACGGAUCAGAAUGGACUGGAGGGGAUUGGAUCUGCCUUGCAAAUCAUGAGGGAAUCCCAGGGAAAGAAAACACUCCUCGGACUGAUAGUGAGGGUGAGUAAAGGACACAAUCUCAGAUCAUGUGACCUACCCCACAUUCCUCAAAGAAGACAGGAAAUGAGACUGAAAAAGAUUUGCAUGACUUCCCUUAUUUGGCUUGGCAGUCAGAUUUAUUUAUUUAUUUAUGUAUUUAUGUAUUUAUUUAUCUUUGAAACAGAGCCUCUCUCUGUUGCCCAGGCCAGAGUGCAGUGAUGCAAUCUCAGCUCACUGCAACCUCCAGUUCUUGGGUUCAAGCAAUCUCCUGCCUCAGCUUCCCAAGGAUCUGGAAUUACAGACGGGGUCUUGCUAUGUUGCCCAGAAUGGAAUGCAGUGUCUCUUCACCGGCACCAUCCUGGCAUGCUAUAGCCUCAAACUCCUGGGCUCAAGCAUCAUCCUGCCUCAGCCUCCCAAUUAGCUGGGACUACAGGUGUGCAUCACUGUGCAGAGCUAAUAAUGUCCUUUCUGUAUGAAUUAUCGAGACUCAAGAAAGCACUUUGAUAGGGGAAGUGAAUACACUGGGGACAAUUAGUGGGUGGAUGUGUCUGAAGUGAGAGUAAGGCUCUCUUC
rnacentral:lncRNA from 1 species